rnacentral:rRNA from 1 species
UACGAAGGGGGCUAGCGUUGUUCGGAAUCACUGGGCGUAAAGCGCACGCAGGCGGAUUGAUAAGUCAGGGGUGAAAUCCCGGAGCUCAACUUCGGAAUUGCCUUUGAUACUGUCUGUCUUGAGUCCGGGAGAGGUGAGUGGAAUUCCUAGUGUAGAGGUGAAAUUCGUAGAUAUUAGGAAGAACACCAGUGGCGAAGGCGGCUCACUGGCCCGGUACUGACGCUCAUGUGCGAAAGCGUGGGGGAGCAAACAGG